UUCCAUCUUUUUUUACCAGCCUAUCAAUCUCAUAUUCUCACCAUUAUCGAGAGCUUCAAGGAGACUAUUUUUAAUAAACAGAACUAGCAAUGCGAAAUGAACUGAAAGUUGAGUUAUGGUGCUCAGUUACGCACUAAUCUAGAACCCAAACGGCAUUAGGUCAAUUAAGACAACAAGACUGUGAUUAUGAAAGUCGAAAUCUGCUAAGGAGUAUGUAACAACUCACCUGCCGAAUUAACUAGCCCCGUGCACGCGACCUAUACUUGGUUGUUGGGGCAAGAGCCAAGCCCCAAUGAAUAAGGGGGCCUGAUGAUCGCUGCAAAGCCAGAGGUGCGAGCUCGGAGAGCUAUUAUUGGUG
rnacentral:rRNA from 1 species